CCUACGGGAGGCAGCAGUGAGGAAUAUUGGACAAUGGACGAAAGCCUGAACCAGCCAAGCAGCGUGAAGGAUGACUGCCCUAUGGGUUGUAAACUUUUUUUAUAUGGGAAUAAAAUGUUCCACGUGUGGGAUUAUCUAUGUACCAUAUGAAUAAGGAUCGGCUAACUCCGCGCCAGCAGCCGCGGUAAUACGGAGGAUCCGAGCGUUAUCCGGAUUUAUUGGGUUUAAAGGGAGCGUAGGUGGAUUGUUAAGUCAGGUGUGAAAGUCUGCGGCUCAACCGUAAAAUUGCAUUUGAAACUGGCAGUCUUGAGUACAGGAGAGGUGGGCGGAAUUCGUGGUGUAGCGGUGAAAUGCGUAGAUAUCACGAAGAACACCGGUUGCGAAGGCAGCUCACUGGACUGCAACUGACACUGAGGCUCGAAAGUGUGGGUAUCAAACAGGAUUAGAUACCCGAGUAGUC
rnacentral:rRNA from 1 species